rnacentral:rRNA from 1 species
GACGAACGCUGGCGGCGUGCUUAACACAUGCAAGUCGAACGGAAAGGCCCUGCUUUUGUGGGGUGCUCGAGUGGCGAACGGGUGAGUAACACGUGAGUAACCUGCCCUUGACUUUGGGAUAACUUCAGGAAACUGGGGCUAAUACCGGAUAGGAGCUCCUGCUGCAUGGUGGGGGUUAGAAAGUUUCGGCGGUUGGGGAUGGACUCGCGGCUUAUCAGCUUGUUGGUGGGGUAGUGGCUUACCAAGGCUUUGACGGGUAGCCGGCCUGAGAGGGUGACCGGCCACAUUGGGACUGAGAUACGGCCCAGACUCCUACGGGAGGCAGCAGUGGGGAAUAUUGCACAAUGGGCGGAAGCCUGAUGCAGCAACGCCGCGUGCGGGAUGACGGCCUUCGGGUUGUAAACCGCUUUCGCCUGUGACGAAGCGUGAGUGACGGUAAUGGGUAAAGAAGCACCGGCUAACUACGU